rnacentral:lncRNA from 1 species
CCAUACUGUGGCUUCCUGGGGGACCCUUCCCCACCAUAACCAUACCCGCCACCUUGUUCCUCUCCGAAGCUAGGUUUCCGACCGUACCCAGAUCCAUAUUCAGAACUCGGUGCUUCGUACUCAGGCCUCCGACCAUACCCAGAUCCAUACUCCGAACUGGGCUGCUCGAACUCGGGCCUCCGACCAUACCCAGAUCCAUACUCCGAACUAGGUUGCUCGUAUUCAGGCUUCCGACCGUACCCAGAUCCAUAUUCCGUGCUAGGCUGUUCGUAUUCAGGCUUCCGACCGUACCCAGAUCCAUAUUCCGAGCUAGGCUGUUCGUAUUCAGGCUUCCGACCGUACCCAGAUCCAUAUUCCGAGCUAGGCUGUUCGUAUUCAGGCUUCCGACCGUAGCCAGAUCCAUAUUCCGAGCUAGGCUGUUCGCAUUCAGGCUUCCGACCGUACCCGGAUCCGUACUCCGAACUGGGUUCCUCGUAAUCAGGCUUCCGCCCAUGCCCAGAUCC